UACGGGGGGGGCAAGCGUUGUUCGGAAUUACUGGGCGUAAAGGGCUCGUAGGCGGCCAACUAAGUCAGACGUGAAAUCCCUCGGCUUAACCGGGGAACUGCGUCUGAUACUGGAUGGCUUGAGUUUGGGAGAGGGACGCGGAAUUCCAGGUGUAGCGGUGAAAUGCGUAGAUAUCUGGAGGAACACCGGUGGCGAAGGCGGCGUCCUGGACCAACACUGACACUGAAAAGCGAAAGCCAGGGGAGCAAACGGG
rnacentral:rRNA from 1 species